GACGAACGCUGGCGGCGUGCCUAAUACAUGCAAGUCGAACGAGAGCAACCGGUGCUUGCACUGGUCAAUCUAGUGGCGAACGGGUGAGUAACACGUGGGUAACCUGCCCAUCAGAGGGGGAUAACAUCCGGAAACGGAUGCUAAAACCGCAUAGGUCUUCGAACCGCAUGGUUUGAAGAGGAAAAGAGGCGCAAGCUUCUGCUGAUGGAUGGACCCGCGGUGCAUUAGCUAGUUGGUGAGGUAACGGCUCACCAAGGCCGUGAUGCAUAGCCGACCUGAGAGGGUGAUCGGCCACAUUGGGACUGAGACACGGCCCAAACUCCUACGGGAGGCAGCAGUAGGGAAUCUUCCGCAAUGGACGCAAGUCUGACGGAGCAACGCCGCGUGAGUGAAGAAGGUUUUCGGAUCGUAAAACUCUGUUGUUAGAGAAGAACAAGUGCUAGAGUAACUGUUAGCGCCUUGUCGGUAUCUAACCAGAAAGCCACGGCUAACUACGUG
rnacentral:rRNA from 1 species